rnacentral:rRNA from 1 species
CCCUUAGAUGUUCUGGGCUGCACGCGCGCUACACUGAUGCACUCAACGAGUUUACGACCUUGCCCGAUAGGGUUGGGUAAUCUUUUUAAAAUGCAUCGUGAUGGGGAUAGAUUAUUGCAAUUAUUAAUCUUCAACGAGGAAUUCCUAGUAAGCGCGAGUCAUCAGCUCGUGCUGAUUACGUCCCUGCCCUUUGUACACACCGCCCGUCGCUCCUACCGAUUGAGUGCUCAGGUGAAUAAUUCGGACUGCAGCAAUGUUUGGAUCCCGAACGUUGCAGCGGAAAGUUUAGUGAACCUUAUCACUUAGAGGAAGGAGAAGUCAUAACA